CUGAAAAUUUUGUUCCCCCUCUGUUGGAUGCAGUUCUCAUUGAUUAUCAGAGAAAUGUCCCAGCUGCUAGAGAACCAGAAGUGCUUAGUACUAUGGCCAUAAUUGUCAACAAGUUAGGGGGACAUAUAACAGCUGAAAUACCUCAAAUAUUUGAUGCAGUUUUUGAAUGCACAUUGAAUAUGAUAAAUAAGGACUUUGAAGAAUAUCCUGAACACAGAACAAACUUUUUCUUACUACUUCAGGCUGUCAAUUCUCAUUGUUUCCCAGCAUUCCUUGCUAUUCCACCUACACAGUUUAAACUUGUUUUGGAUUCCAUCAUUUGGGCCUUCAAACAUACUAUGAGGAAUGUUGCAGAUACGGGCUUACAGAUACUUUUUACACUCUUACAAAAUGUUGCACAAGAAGAAGCUGCAGCUCAGAGUUUUUAUCAAACUUAUUUUUGUGAUAUUCUCCAGCAUAUCUUCUCUGUUGUGACAGACACUUCACAUACUGCUGGUAAGAAUUUAAUAUGAUUUAAAUGUUAAGUGCCGACCGGGCACAGGGACUCACGCCUGUAAUCCCAGCACUUUGGGAGGUUGAGGCGGGGAGAUUAUGGUCAGGAGUUUGAGAACAGCCUGGCCACCAUGGUGAAACCGUCUGUACUAAAAAUACAAUAAAAAAUAAAAAAUACAAUAAAAAUACCGGGCAUGGUGGCAUGUGAUUGCAAUCCCACCUACUCGGGAGGCUGAGGCAGGAGAAUGGCUUGGACCCAGCAGGCAGAGGUUACAGUGGACUAAGAUUGCGCUACUGCAUUCCAGCCUGGGUGACAGAGCGAGACUCCGUCU
rnacentral:sRNA from 1 species